GCUGUGCGCACUUGAUGGGGGAUCCAUUAAAUGCGCACAGGUGGCCUUAAUGACACAAGCAGCAAAAUGGCGGCUGGCUGGCACGCGCGUUGACUCAGCUCAGCAAGUUUCUCACUUCGAAGGGCGAGAGCAGCGUUCCGGCGAAGGUUUGAGGGCGGAUGAGGAGACUGCCGGACGACGGGACGAGCGGAAGGAGAAAUUCAUCAGUGCGGGAGUCGAGCAGCACACGAGUUAGCUUGUUGGGGGGCAGAGUACUGGGCUUUGUGGCACACCUUGUGUAGCAGUCUGGCAAAUGUGUGAAAUGUUCAAUUGGUGUAGUUGGCGCGUGGAAAUGGUUAAUAGGGAUGACGGUUGGACGUCUCGGUGCAGUCGAGAGUUGUUUGCAGGAUCCUGCUUGAGUUGGUCGGCUAGUUGUGUGGCUCGUCUCCGUCCAGAGUAGUUUUGUGGGUGACUUUCGGCGGAAGAUGCGCCGACUGGAGCGAAGGGUGACACUGAAGAAGUCAAGGCGGAAGACGUGCAGAACCACGGGACGGGUCGGCCCAGGUAACGACGGCGCACAUCGACCAUUUUCUAUCACAGUUGCAGCGGAAUCGACCAGAAAAAGGAGGCGAGCGUUCAUUGAAGUGUUGAGUGGGAGGCGGCAAGCGUUGGAGGAGGUCUGCCAGAGAGCUUCGUGGCCUGGGUGAAGACGACGCGUGGCCAAGCAGCUCAACGGGGAAGGACAAAUUGUCUGGAGAAGACCCGGCACGGGUCAAUAAAAGACGUCAUCACCAGUGUGCCCCCCCCCCCCCAAGCAACCAUCCCGAAACAAAGUCGCCGACGCUCCAUUGCUUGCCGAGCCGAGCGCCAACUGGAGGGUUGUCAGAGGAGGUCAAGGGAAGACGCCACUCAAGCGGUUUGACCGAGGCGCCUGUGGACAAACAAAAGUGACCAGCAGGGGGCGGAGUACUGGACUUUGUGGGUGGUGGAAAUGCAGAAUCUGGCAACGCACCAGGGUCAGCGGUUCUUACAGACCAAUCAGAAUCAUCUCGAUGUAGUUUGCGUGGCUCAAGUGGACGGGGAGGCCGCAAGAGGAUUUUGGAUGCGGAGCUGUGCAAGUCCUGGAGGAGGAGUCGGCAGCAUUUUGGACCCCCCCCCCCCCCCAACCAAGUCUUUUGAGGUGUGGUGGAUUGGGCAAGAACACGGAAAUUGGACAAGGGUAAAAAGUCCUGACACAACAUCGUGAACUGAUCUUCACCAAACUAAUUGACCCCCCCCCCCCCUCAAGAAAGAAAAGUGGGAAUGUUCCACCGCUUCAAGAUCCAACUCCGAGGGAAGUGUCUUGCGACCACUUUUGCUGUUUGUCGUCACUCACUAAUUCACGGGGGGGUGUUUGCACCGACUCACAUUCUGAUUUUUGAACAUUAAUUUGGCCCUUCUGUAGCUAAGUGUGGAAUUUCAAGCUGUCAUCUGUCCCUAUUGGUCAAUGCCAGCUUUUUGCUUUCAGGGGCAGCGGCGGAUUGGGCAAGAACACAGAAAUUGGAGAAAGAUAAGUUAUGACUAUAACUAAUACAGUACACGUGACAUGUGAGUGGCGCGUUCCCAACGUGAUUCUUCCUCGUGUUGAUGACUCGGUGGAGUGCAGGAAUGCGGCCAGGAGAGGAAAAAAACGUACACGGCGACGCUGUCCAGUCGGGGUCCUCGAAGCCGCGUUCAACGUGCAAUUGUGCAGUCACGCCGACCUGAGGGAAGGAAGCUGCAAGUGGUGACCAGGAUGUGGACGCUGCAAGAGCAUUUUUGGAGGCAGGUCCUCAAGGGGGGG